GAUGAACGCUAGCUACAGGCUUAACACAUGCAAGUCGAGGGGAAACGAUAUUGGAAGCUUGCUUCCGAUAGGCGUCGACCGGCGCACGGGUGAGUAACGCGUAUCCAACCUGCCCAUCACUUGGGGAUAACCUUGCGAAAGUAAGACUAAUACCCAAUGACGUCUCUAGAAGACAUCUGAAGGAGAUUAAAGAUUUAUCGGUGAUGGAUGGGGAUGCGUCUGAUUAGCUUGUUGGCGGGGUAACGGCCCACCAAGGCGACGAGCAGUAGGGGUUCUGAGAGGAGGGUCCCCCACAUUGGAACUGAGACACGGUCCAAACUCCUACGGGAGGCAGCAGUGAGGAAUAUUGGUCAAUGGACGAGAGUCUGAACCAGCCAAGUAGCGUGCAGGAUGACGGCCCUAUGGGUUGUAAACUGCUUUUAUAAGGGAAUAAAGUGAGAGUCGUGACUCUUUUUGCAUGUACCUUAUGAAUAAGGACCGGCUAAUUCCGUGCCAGCCGCCGCGGUAA
rnacentral:rRNA from 1 species